AAUAGAUACCCUGGUAGUCCACGCCGUAAACGAUGAGUGCUAAGUGUUAGGGGGUUUCCGCCCCUUAGUGCUGCAGCUAACGCAUUAAGCACUCCGCCUGGGGAGUACGGUCGCAAGACUGAAACUCAAAGGAAUUGACGGGGGCCCGCACAAGCGGUGGAGCAUGUGGUUUAAUUCGAAGCAACGCGAAGAACCUUACCAGGUCUUGACAUCCCACUGACCGCUAUGGAGACAUAGUUUUCCCUUCGGGGACAGUGGUGACAGGUGGUGCAUGGUUGUCGUCAGCUCGUGUCGUGAGAUGUUGGGUUAAGUCCCGCAACGAGCGCAACCCUUGAUCUUAGUUGCCAUCAUUUAGUUGGGCACUCUAAGGUGACUGCCGGUGACAAACCGGAGGAAGGUGGGGAUGACGUCAAAUCAUCAUGCCCCUUAUGACCUGGGCUACACACGUGCUACAAUGGACGGUACAAACGGUUGCCAACCCGCGAGGGGGAGCUAAUCCGAUAAAACCGUUCUCAGUUCGGAUUGUAGGCUGCAACUCG
rnacentral:rRNA from 1 species